CAGGCCCCAGGAUGGAGGGAGGGCCUGGGGUUCGCACUCAGCAUUACCUCCAUGGGCCCCCUGGGUUCUGCAGACGCGUGUGGCCUGACCUCACCCUUCAGCCCACACAAGUCCCUGAAAGCCCCUGGGGUCUUGAUGGCCUGGCUAGCCUAGCUCUCCAGCCCCCUGAUCCAGAGGGACCUGGAGAGUGCCAGGCCGAGGUGGGGAGGGGGCAGCCAGACUCAGUUUGGAAGGGACAGGGCUGGACCCCAGGGAUAGCCAUUUGGAAGGUCUUGGAGACGUCAGGACCGGGGCUUUAACAAGCUUGGAGUGUGGGUGGCCUGCAAGGGGAAGACCCCGCAGGCAACAGGGCCGCCCCAGGCCCGUGCCAAGCCUCAGUUUCCUCCUGGGCUACUUGGGGCGCCACGCCCGCCGCAGGGAGGCUGCGCCAGGAAGCGGGUCCUCUGUCAGGAGCCCAUUUUACAGACGAGAAAACCGAGGCUCAGCGAAGUCAGAGUCGGUCUGUUGUCCCUGUGCCUGCACCGGGGGGCUGCCGCCAUCCCGCGACUCCCUCAUGCCCGCGAAAUCGCGCCCACUCCUCUGGCUUCUGCUGCUGGAGUCCCCUCCCCACCAGAGACCCCUUGGCUACCCGGCCACCCCGAGAUUCCCGAGCACCGCCAGAGCUCCGCCGGUCCCAGGUCCGGAAGCCACCUGAAGACAUGCAACAGGGAGAAGAUGACAUGGGAUCUGGAAAACAGUGGCUCCAAACUAGAAUAGUGAAGGGUGGGCAAUGGGCAGUGGGACUGCCCAGCGGGCCAGGAGCAGGAGAGCAAGGCCCUGGCAGGGAACAUGGGGGGAAUGACUUGACUGCUGGAGAAUGUAAGGAUGUGAUAAAGGCAGACAAUGUGGGGACAAUAAGGCAAACAAACUCCAGGAAAAACAAAAGCCGUCCUAAGAUAAUGCAUUCCCCGCUCACUGCUUAGCCAUGCUGAGGUUCAUAUUUACAUACAGUCCUGAGAGACGCUCUUGACUGAACCAGCCUACAGACAAGCAGGAAAGCACGGUCACUGCUCCAGGACAGGACCUGAGUGUCACUGGCCUUGACUACAUGUUAGGCUCAGCUCCUUGCAAGAGUUGUCUGUGCUGACUGUCUCCACCUCUGCUCCUCCCAUGAAACUCCCCUUCAGGUCUUCCUCGCCUCCAAAUAACCCUGUUCUUCUCAACGUCCACGAUGACCGGAGCUGCCAAGGCCAGCGGUCCAGUCUUGAGCCUUGCCUGACCUCAGCAACAUGUGCC
rnacentral:lncRNA from 1 species